CGGGCCCGACUUGGCCCCGUCUCCUCCCGUAGGGAGUGCGGGAUCCGCGAGACGUGGCAGCGCCAAGGCCCGGAGGGUGGGGGCAUCAUCCUGGAGUCUCGCGGGGGACCUAGACGGCUUCAAAUCCGACCGAGUGCGUUCCCAGACGCUGGGGGAAAAUCAGAAGUGGCGACCAGCAGAUAAGAAAACUGAGUCAAAUGGAAAGAUGAAUGAUGCUUUUGGAUGGGAAGACUCAGUAUCAUAAAGAUCUCAAUUUUCUAAGAACCUUACAGAGAAUUCUAACAUCUAAAGGUGGAAAGAACUGUUUCCUGGGUGAAGCAGCCUGGGGCCAGAUGGGGAAGAAGAGCCCAGCCUGCUCCAACCUCCACAAGGCAUCUACCAGGAACUCCGAGAACAGUGGGUCAUGGUCAUGCUGUCACAGGGGUGGCACUAAAGGUGGUAUGUACAACCAUCUUUCCUCCCACAUAUGCUACAGAACUCUAAAAAUGCUUCUUCUCCCCGUCCUUCUCUUUCUCUGUAUGUAUGUGGUAUGUAAGAGGUAUCUAUAGAUAUAGAUGUAAUUUUCCCACACAUGCAUAAUGUUUAAUGUAAUUUUACUAGAUAUAGAUCUUACCAUCUGUUGGUAUUGUGCAGGCAGAUUCACAUGGUGGUGGUAACUAAAAUAAAAUGUUAAAAUGUAUUAGUCUAAUCCCAGAAAAAGAAUAAGCUAAAAAGUAUACUGAUACAAAAAUUAAAAGGAAUCUAAACAGAAGACAACUAUCCCAAUUUUUAGGUUCUAAAAAUAAUUUACAAUAGAUAGUAACAAUGCAAAGCUUGCU